rnacentral:lncRNA from 1 species
UCAAAUUUUAAAAAACAGUAACCGAAACACACGCUCCGACCUGUCCGUCUGUGGUCGGGCACAGAUAUGAUACCGACGAAGUUUCCGAACGAUUCUUCCUUCGAUUCAGGACAAGAAACGGUCGAGAGACUCCCGAGACGACAGCGCUGAGGCGGAUAAGAAGCGACCGAAGCGUGAGAAGCACAAGAAGAAGAAGGAUAAUCCGUCGAGAAAGUCCCGUCGCGAUCUUCCGAAAAAUUCCGAGAAGAACAUCCAGAAAUCGAAGUUGUCCUUCAGUCCUUACGCUGACGAAGAAGAUGACCUGAAAGGUCGCGUUGUGGAGAAAAGCCCCGGGACGCAGCUUUGUCUGAAACUACCUACGAAGAAACUCAACGGUCCCGUCUGGUUUGCCGGGAGCUCGGAUGAUGAAAAUUCGUCGAACACCACGAGAGACAGUCACAGCUUUAACGGAAAGGAUCGCAAUGGAAACUCGAUGAUUCCGCUGAAGCACUCGUCCAAACCGAACGGACUGAUCGACAGCUCAUCGAAAGACAGCAGCACCGAGCCCGGAAUCACGCGGAGCUCAUCAGCUAAGCACAAUUCUGAGGAAUCGACUCGUAAGAGGAGCUCCUGCAGCAACGAUCAAACGUCUCCUCCCCCCGCGAAAGAUACUCCGGCGAAACGAAAAUCGAGCUCAUCUCCCGACUGUGUGAAAAUUCGGAAACUCUUGGCCAGCAGGAGAACGCCGCCCCAGGAGAACCCGACUACGAACGGGAAGCUCGCGACUGCGACGAACGGGUCCUCUAAUCAUUCCGUCGGUGCCCUGCCGAGAAAAGACAGCGCCUCUCAGGAAAAUGAUUUGAGCAAAUGGGAGAAGGGAGACGACCUCCCUGUGGCUUACAGGAGCAGAUCCGUCAGUCGGUCGGGGAGCAGCAGUCGGUCUAGGAGUAGGUCCACGUCGAGGAGAUCUCGUUCUACUUCAAGGAGGUCGGAUUCGCGCCGGAGAUCUUCGUCGAGGUCGACAUAUUCGUCUCGCUCUCGAUCAAACAGCUCCUCGAGUCGAUCAGAUCGCAGUCGAUCGUACAGCAGAUCGCAGUCGAGGCACAGGAGCCUCUCAAUUCCGAGGAGAUCAGGAUCUCCGAGUUUCCUCGACAAGCGUCGUAUCACCAGCGCUCGGAAACGGCCCGUACCCUACGAUCGCUACCGCAAUCGAUCAUCGUCCUCGGGAUCAUCCGGCGAUGAUGCCAGAAGCUAGUCAUUGAUUCAAGAGAAAAUCCAAUUCCAUAGAAUCGUCGAUGCCACGGACUAUUGGGAUCACAUCAUCGUCGGGAAAAGAGAUACAGAUGUUGGCUGUCGACGAUUAUAUGAGAGCAAACUAGGAAACAAGCCACGGCUUUUUUUGUAAAUACAUACCAAGUCUGAAGUGAGCGGAGCUUCCUGCGCCUGCGAUCAUUAUCAGACUAGACUAUAAGUAUAAUUACGCGCACCUUGCAAGCCUAAGAUUGUUUUGGUUCAUAUCUGUGUAUAUUCCCUCGAGAGGAGCAGGAGCACCUGUCUCUUGUGCUUCUCCGGGAAGGAAUCAGAAAUCCUCAUUUCUCCGCGGCAGUCUAAAUUUCCGGCUUUCGCUCUACGAUGAGAGGCCGUCCCAAUCCUCGACAUAAACUAUUGCGAUUAGAUGAACCGAAUCGAAUAAAGAUCAGAAUGUCCCUCA